UGCUAAUCAGUGCCAUUUUACAGACAGGCAUCAACAUCCAUUGAUUUUGGUAUCUACAGGGAUUUCUGGAAUCAGUCCACAUCCACACACCAGGAAACGACUAUAGAUGUUUUGGGGGAGUGUCUGUUUCCAUGAAGAGUCUUGAUGCAAUUUUCUCCUGUUUGUAAGAGAUUGUAUUACAAAAAACUGCUACACCUGACAUGGAGAACAGGGGAAUCAUAUUGGCUCAUAUUCUGUGAGCUGCAAUACCCCAGAAUCUUGUUCCACAGGGAAUCAUGUCACUGGAGCUAAGUAUCAUAGCCACAGAAAAUUUAAUAAAAGACUUAGCAACAGCAAGAGACUC
rnacentral:lncRNA from 1 species